rnacentral:rRNA from 1 species
AUUGAACGCUGGCGGCAUGCUCUACACAUGCAAGUCGAACGGUAACAGGCCGCAAGGUGCUGACGAGUGGCGAACGGGUGAGUAAUGCAUCGGAACGUGCCCAGUCGUGGGGGAUAACUACUCGAAAGAGUAGCUAAUACCGCAUACGAUCUAUGAAUGAAAGCGGGGGACCGUAAGGCCUCGCGCGAUUGGAGCGGCCGAUGUCAGAUUAGGUAGUUGGUGGGGUAAAGGCUCACCAAGCCAACGAUCUGUAGCUGGUCUGAGAGGACGACCAGCCACACUGGGACUGAGACACGGCCCAGACUCCUACGGGAGGCAGCAGUGGGGAAUUUUGGACAAUGGGCGCAAGCCUGAUCCAGCAAUGCCGCGUGCAGGAAGAAGGCCUUCGGGUUGUAAACUGCUUUUGUACGGAACGAAACGGCUCUGGUUAAUACCCGGGGCUAAUGACGGUACCGUAAGAAUAAGCACCGGCUAACUACGUG